rnacentral:SRP_RNA from 1 species
GCUGGGUGUGGUGGCGCGUGCCUGUAAUCCCAGCUACUUGGAGGCUGAGGCAGGAGAAUCGCUUGAACCCAGGAGGCAGAGCUUGCAGUGAGCGAGAUCGUGCCACUGCACUCCAGCCUGGGUGACAGAGCGAGACUCCAUCUCAA